GAUGAACGCUGGCGGCGUGCCUAAUACAUGCAAGUCGAGCGAACGGACGAGAAGCUUGCUUUUCUGAUGUUAGCGGCGGACGGGUGAGUAACACGUGGAUAACCUACCUAUAAGACUGGGAUAACUUCGGGAAACCGGAGCUAAUACCGGAUAAUAUUUUGAACCGCAUGGUUCAAAAGUGAAAGACGGUCUUGCUGUCACUUAUAGAUGGAUCCGCGCUGCAUUAGCUAGUUGGUAAGGUAACGGCUUACCAAGGCAACGAUGCAUAGCCGACCUGAGAGGGUGAUCGGCCACACUGGAACUGAGACACGGUCCAGACUCCUACGGGAGGCAGCAGUAGGGAAUCUUCCGCAAUGGGCGAAAGCCUGACGGAGCAACGCCGCGUGACUGAUGAAGGUCUUCGGAUCGUAAAACUCUGUUAUUAGGGAAGAACAUAUGUGUAAGUAACUGUGCACAUCUUGACGGUACCUAAUCAGAAAGCCACGGCUAACUACGUG
rnacentral:rRNA from 1 species